rnacentral:lncRNA from 1 species
GGCUUUUGUGGCGCGAUGGGUAACGAUGCUUCGUGGGUGUCAGUUGUUGAUGUGUGCAAGGGUCCCUGGUUCGAGCCCAGGUUGGGGCGAAGAGAGGGACGGAACCUACACUGUUACAGAGGCAAAAUUGGAACCUCAGGGAGACGAGAUCAGCUCAGGGCCAAUGAUAUCUCAAUGUCGAACAGAUUCAGUCACAGUGGUCAUUUUUCUCCGAGGAGGUGCUACUGCCACUGUAAUAUACCCCCACGAUCACAAACCCCACUAACCAACCCUGAAUCCUAGUCUAUUUCUUGUUGUGGCUGCAUAUAUGAACUUUUAAGUUUCUCAGCAAAGUAGGACUCCAUUGGCUCCACAUGACUAUUCGAUGGGCAUGGUGGGCAAGGGCUAGCCCACACCAAGCCCACACCAGUCCAAAAUGUGCUAGCACGUCAAAAGCUGUCGCACAGUAGCCCAAGAUGGGCCAGCCCAUAUCAAGCCCAACACGGGCUGGCCCACAACAAGCUUAGCAUAUGCUAGCCUACAGCAAGCCCACACCAGCCCAACACAUGUUAGCCUACAGCAAGCACACACCAAGCCCAAGAUGGACCGGCCCACACCAGCCCAGGAAGGACCAGCCCACACCAAGCCCAACAAAUGCUAGCCUACACCAGCCCAACACAGGCUAGCCCACACCAAGCCCAACACAGGCUAGCCUACACCAGCCAAACACAGGCUAGCCCAUACCAGCCCAACACAGGCCAGCCCACACCAAGCCCAACACAGGCUAGCUUACACCAGCCCAACACAUGCCAGCCCACACCAAGCCGAACACAGGCUAGCCCACACCAGCAAAACACAGGCUAGCCCAUACCAGCCCAACACAGGCCAGCCCACACCAAGCCCAACACAGGCUAGCCUACACCAGCCCAACACAGGCCAGCCCACACCAAGCCCAACACAGGCUAGCCUACACCAGCCCAACACAGGCUAGCCCAUACCAGCCCAACACAGGCAAGCCCAAAACAGGCUAGCCCACACCAGCCCAACCCACACCAACCCAACACAGGCUAGCCCACACCAAGCCCAACACAGGCCAGCCCACACCAAGCCCAACACAGGCCAGCCAACACCUAGCCCAACACAGGCUAGCCCAAACCAGCCAAACACAGGCUAGCCCACACCAAGCCCAACACAGGCCAGCCCACACCAAGCCCAAGAUGGACCAGCCCACAACAGCACAGGAAGGACCAACCCACACCAACCCAACACAGGCUAGCCCACACCA